rnacentral:ribozyme from 1 species
CAUCCCGCAACAUCAGCAAAAAAAAAAAAAAACCUUGAAAUAAAUAAAAAAAUAAAACAGUUUAAAUAAAUAUAACAGGCACAUUAUCUUUCAUCUUGAGUGCCUCUCUUUCUUUCUUCUCCUCCC